rnacentral:rRNA from 1 species
UCUCCCCGAAAGCUAUUUAGGUAGCGCCUCGUGAACUCAUCUUCGGGGGUAGAGCACUGUUUCGGCUAGGGGGCCAUCCCGGCUUACCAAACCGAUGCAAACUCCGAAUACCGAAGAAUGUUAUCACGGGAGACACCACGGCGGGUGCUAACGUCCGUCGUGAAGAGGGAAACAACCCAGACCGCCAGCUAAGGUCCCAAAGUCAUGGUUAAGUGGGAAACGAUGUGGGAAGGCAUAGACAGCCAGGAUGUUGGCUUAGAAGCAGCCAUCAUUUAAAGAAAGCGUAAUAGCUCACUGGUCGAGUCGGCCUGCGCGGAAGAUGUAACGGGGCUAAACCAUGCACCGAAGCUGCGGCAGCGACGCUUAGGCGUUGUUGGGUAGGGGAGCGUUCUGUAAGCCGUUGAAGGUGGCCUGUGAGGGUUGCUGGAGGUAUCAGAAGUGCGAAUGCUGACAUAAGUAACGAUAAAGCGGGUGAAAAGCCCGCUCGCCGGAAGACCAAGGGUUCCUGUCCAACGUUAAUCGGGGCAGGGUGAGUCGACCCUAAGGCGAGGCUGAAAAGCGUAGUCGAUGGGAAACAGGUUAAUAUUCCUGUACUUGGUGUUACUGCGAAGGGGGGACGGAGAAGGCUAGGCUAGCCGGGCGACGGUUGUCCCGGUUUAAGCGUGUAGGGGGUGUGACCUGGUAAAUCCGGUUGCAUAUCAACCCUGAGGCGUGAUGACGAUGCACUACGGUGCAGAAGUAGUUGAUGCCCUGCUUCCAGGAAAAGCCUCUAAGCUCCAGGUAACAUUGAAUCGUACCCCAAACCGACACAGGUGGUCAGGUAGAGAAUACCAAGGCGCUUGAGAGAACUCGGGUGAAGGAACUAGGCAAAAUGGUGCCGUAACUUCGGGAGAAGGCACGCUGGCAUGUAGGUGAAGUCCCUUGCGGAUGGAGCUGAAGCCAGUCGAAGAUACCAGCUGGCUGCAACUGUUUAAUAAAAACACAGCACUGUGCAAACACGAAAGUGGACGUAUACGGUGUGACGCCUGCCCGGUGCUGGAAGGUUAAUUGAUGGGGUCAGCCGCAAGGCGAAGCUCUUGAUCGAAGCCCCAGUAAACGGCGGCCGUAACUAUAACGGUCCUAAGGUAGCGAAAUUCCUUGUCGGGUAAGUUCCGACCUGCACGAAUGGCGUAAUGAUGGCCAGGCUGUCUCCACCCGAGACUCAGUGAAAUUGAACUCGCUGUGAAGAUGCAGUGUACCCGCGGCAAGACGGAAAGACCCCGUGAACCUUUACUAUAGCUUGACACUGAACAUUGAGCCUUGAUGUGUAGGAUAGGUGGGAGGCUUUGAAGCGUGGACGCCAGUCUGCGUGGAGCCAUCCUUGAAAUACCACCCUUUAAUGUUUGAUGUUCUAACUCGGCCCGUGAUCCGGGGUGAGGACAGUGUCUGGUGGGUAGUUUGACUGGGGCGGUCUCCUCCCAAAGAGUAACGGAGGAGCACGAAGGUUAGCUAAUCACGGUCGGACAUCGUGAGGUUAGUGCAAAGGCAUAAGCUAGCUUGACUGCGAGAGUGACGGCUCGAGCAGGUACGAAAGUAGGUCUUAGUGAUCCGGUGGUUCUGAAUGGAAGGGCCAUCGCUCAACGGAUAAAAGGUACUCCGGGGAUAACAGGCUGAUACCGCCCAAGAGUUCAUAUCGACGGCGGUGUUUGGCACCUCGAUGUCGGCUCAUCACAUCCUGGGGCUGAAGUAGGUCCCAAGGGUAUGGCUGUUCGCCAUUUAAAGUGGUACGCGAGCUGGGUUUAGAACGUCGUGAGACAGUUCGGUCCCUAUCUGCCGUGGGCGUUGGAAGAUUGAGAGGGGUUGCUCCUAGUACGAGAGGACCGGAGUGAACGCACCACUGGUGUUCGGGUUGUCAUGCCAAUGGCAUUGCCCGGUAGCUAAGUGCGGAAAAGAUAAGCGCUGAAAGCAUCUAAGCGCGAAACUUGCCUCAAGAUGAGUCUUCCCUGGGCCUUCAAGGCCCCUGAAGGAACGUUUAAGACUAAGACGUUGAUAGGCUGGGUGUGUAAGUGCAGCGAUGCAUUGAGCUAACCAGUACUAAUGAUCCGUGAGGCUUAACCUUACAACACCGAAGGUGUUU